rnacentral:rRNA from 1 species
CAGCCGCCGCGGUAAUACAGAGGGUGCGAGCGUCAAUCGGAUUUACUGGGCGUAAAGCGUGCGUAGGCGGCUUCUUAAGUCGGAUGUGAAAUCCCUGAGCUUAACUUAGGAAUUGCAUUCGAUACUGGGAAGCUAGAGUAUGGGAGAGGAUGGUAGAAUUCCAGGUGUAGCGGUGAAAUGCGUAGAGAUCUGGAGGAAUACCGAUGGCGAAGGCAGCCAUCUGGCCUAAUACUGACGCUGAGGUACGAAAGCAUGGGGAGCAAACAGGAUUAGAUACCCCAGUAGUCCCUGUCUCUUAUAC